UUACUAAAUUAAUACAACGUCGAUCUGUGAUCAUUUUUACGCUGUCAUCUUUCUUAAGAGAUCAGAAUGAGCUCCGAGGAAGGUAGCAGCGGUGGUUUUCAAAUUCCUUUCGUCAGUGACAUACUGAAGGAGGGAGAAAAAAUGAAGAUCCCUUUCGUUAGCGACAUGAUUAAGGAGGGUGAAAAAAUAAAGAUCCCUAUCGUUAGCGACUUGAUUAAGGAGGGAUCAGAACAGCUGAAGAUCCCUUUUAUUAGUGAUAGAAGCAGUGGGGAGGAGGGACACCGUGAGUGCUGUUGUAAUGGGUGUUUUGGUGGUUGUGACAAAGUAAAAGAAUGGUGGCAUAUAUUUGUUGAGAAGAUCAAAGAGUUCUUCUCAUGUCUCGGAUCAUGUUGUUGUUGCAGCAUUUGCAGGUGCUGCUGCCCUUGUUGUUGUUGUUGCUGUUCUGAUGAUUAGUGAUGAAACCUGUUGGAGUAGUGCCACAUUGUCAAGGAAACUCCAGUUUGUGUGCUUUAAUUACCGUAAAACAAAAUUGCUAUUGCGUGAUUUGUUGUUGUUGUUGUUGUUUUCCAUUGUCAUUGAGGUUUUCUUAUAUUCUGCCGGCGUACUUGGAAAUAAACUUGCUUUUGGGACCUCGACUUAACCUGACUAGUCCAAGGGGAUGUGGAGGUAACAAUGGCUGAAACGCCAUCGCCUUCCUUUAGUGGAUUGCAUCGUGUUUGUUUUCUGGCAUUUAUGAUUUACUUUUACCAAUGAUAUAUAUUUUACGUACUAUUACAGUGAUCUUGUUGUACUUGUAUUCACGUGCAGUUUUAAAUCCACUAGUAAAUUAAAUUAAAUUAACUAUCA